UUUGUCAACUCUUGACAAAACCCAUUUCCAUCUCUCCUUCGCAUCCCAUUUCUUCUUCUUCUCUUCCCAUUUCGUUUUUUUUCCCGACAAUUCCCAACAGUGUGCCAAGAUGGAUGAGAUUCAAGACCUACCCUUGCUUAUUCUUCAAUUAUACUUGAUUUGCACAUUCUUUGAUGGUCAAAUAUAUCAAGAUGUUGCCACAAGAGAUGGUCAACAGGCGGGAGGCAUACUCGUCACAUAUGUAUCUCAAGAGGAUGCAUCAUCUUCACGUGAAGGACUUCAAAUCUAUGACUAUAGACUUCCCUUUUAAGUCUUUGGUCUAGCAUCACUUGGUAUGUCGAUAGAUGGUGGUACAAGGGAACCUACUAAUGAAGACAUUAUAGUAGUGAUUCAGAUGAUACCACGUCUCUUAUGUGACUAAAGUUUAAUAGUAGAGGGAGAUCUCUUUAGAAGUAUCUCGAUGUUUAUGUUUUGGGAUUAAUGUACGACCAGCAUAGGGAGUGCGUGAUAUUAUCCCCUUUCCCAUUCUGGAUGUAUUUACAAUAGGUAAUGGGUACACUGUUGAUGGUUGCACACAUUUCACCUAACUUUUCUUUUGAGAUAUUUCUAUGAUCUUAGCUUGUAUUUAUAUUCAGUGUAUGACUUGUUGAGAUUAUUUGUCUGUUAA